UACGUAUGGUGCAAGCGUUAUCCGGAUUUACUGGGUGUAAAGGGAGCGUAGGCGGCGCGUUAAGUCUGAUGUGAAAACCCGAGGCUCAACCACGGGAGUGCAUUGGAAACUGGCGGGCUGGAGUGCCGGAGAGGUAAGCGGAAUUCCUAGUGUAGCGGUGAAAUGCGUAGAUAUUAGGAGGAACACCAGUGGCGAAGGCGGCUUACUGGACGGCGACUGACGCUGAGGCUCGAAAGCGUGGGGAGCAAACAGG
rnacentral:rRNA from 1 species